rnacentral:rRNA from 1 species
AACGCUAGCUACAGGCUUAACACAUGCAAGUCGAGGGGCAGCAUUUCAGUUUGCUUGCAAACUGGAGAUGGCGACCGGCGCACGGGUGAGUAACACGUAUCCAACCUGCCGAUAACUCGGGGAUAGCCUUUCGAAAGAAAGAUUAAUACCCGAUGGUAUAAUCAGACCGCAUGGUCUUGUUAUUAAAGAAUUUCGGUUAUCGAUGGGGAUGCGUUCCAUUAGGCAGUUGGUGAGGUAACGGCUCACCAAACCUUCGAUGGAUAGGGGUUCUGAGAGGAAGGUCCCCCACAUUGGAACUGAGACACGGUCCAAACUCCUACGGGAGGCAGCAGUGAGGAAUAUUGGUCAAUGGGCGCAGGCCUGAACCAGCCAAGUAGCGUGAAGGAUGACUGCCCUAUGGGUUGUAAACUUCUUUUAUAUGGGAAUAAAGUUUUCCACGUGUGGAAUUUUGUAUGUACCAUAUGAAUAAGGAUCGGCUAACUCCGUGCCAGCAGCCGCGGUAAUACGGAGGAUCCGAGCGUUAUCCGGAUUUAUUGGGUUUAAAGGGAGCGUAGGUGGACAGUUAAGUCAGUUGUGAAAGUUUGCGGCUCAACCGUAAAAUUGCAGUUGAUACUGGCUGUCUUGAGUACAGUAGAGGUGGGCGGAAUUCGUGGUGUAGCGGUGAAAUGCUUAGAUAUCACGAAGAACUCCGAUUGCGAAGGCAGCUCACUGGACUGCAACUGACACUGAUGCUCGAAAGUGUGGGUAUCAAACAGGAUUAGAUACCCUGGUAGUCCACACAGUAAACGAUGAAUACUCGCUGUUUGCGAUAUACAGUAAGCGGCCAAGCGAAAGCAUUAAGUAUUCCACCUGGGGAGUACGCCGGCAACGGUGAAACUCAAAGGAAUUGACGGGGGCCCGCACAAGCGGAGGAACAUGUGGUUUAAUUCGAUGAUACGCGAGGAACCUUACCCGGGCUUAAAUUGCAUUUGAAUAUAUUGGAAACAGUAUAGCCGUAAGGCAAAUGUGAAGGUGCUGCAUGGUUGUCGUCAGCUCGUGCCGUGAGGUGUCGGCUUAAGUGCCAUAACGAGCGCAACCCUUAUCUUUAGUUACUAACAGGUCAUGCUGAGGACUCUAGAGAGACUGCCGUCGUAAGAUGUGAGGAAGGUGGGGAUGACGUCAAAUCAGCACGGCCCUUACGUCCGGGGCUACACACGUGUUACAAUGGGGGGUACAGAAGGCAGCUACCUGGUGACAGGAUGCUAAUCCCAAAAGCCUCUCUCAGUUCGGAUCGAAGUCUGCAACCCGACUUCGUGAAGCUGGAUUCGCUAGUAAUCGCGCAUCAGCCAUGGCGCGGUGAAUACGUUCCCGGGCCUUGUACACACCGCCCGUCAAGCCAUGAAAGCCGGGGGUACCUGAAGUACGUAACCGCAAGGAGCGUCCUAGGGUAAAACUGGUAAUU